rnacentral:rRNA from 1 species
GACGAAGGGGGCUAGCGUUGUUCGGAAUUACUGGGCGUAAAGCGAGUGUAGGUGGUUGUCCAAGUUGGAUGUGAAAGCCUUGAGCUCAACUCAAGAAAUGCAUUCAGGACUGGGCGGCUAGAGGACCGGAGAGGAUAGUGGAAUUCCCAGUGUAGUGGUGAAAUGCGUAGAUAUCGGGAGGAACACCAGUGGCGAAGGCGGCUUCCUGGCCUGUUCUUGACGCUGAGGAGCGAAAGCGUGGGGAGCGAACAGG